CCUACGGGAGGCAGCAGUGGGGAAUAUUGCACAAUGGGCGCAAGCCUGAUGCAGCGACGCCGCGUGAGGGAUGACGGCCUUCGGGUUGUAAACCUCUUUCAGCAGGGACGAAGCGCAAGUGACGGUACCUGCAGAAGAAGCACCGGCCAACUACGUGCCAGCAGCCGCGGUAAUACGUAGGGUGCAAGCGUUGUCCGGAAUUACUGGGCGUAAAGAGCUCGUAGGCGGUUUGUCGCGUCGUCUGUGAAAACCAGCAGCUCAACUGUUGGCUUGCAGGCGAUACGGGCAGACUUGAGUAUUUCAGGGGAGACUGGAAUUCCUGGUGUAGCGGUGAAAUGCGCAGAUAUCAGGAGGAACACCGGUGGCGAAGGCGGGUCUCUGGGAAAUAACUGACGCUGAGGAGCGAAAGCGUGGGUAGCGAACAGGAUUAGAUACCCUGGUAGUCCACGCCGUAAACGGUGGGCGCUAGGUGUGGGUUUCCUUCCACGGGAGUCGUCGUCGUCGCGUACGCAUAGUCGCCCGCCGUCGGGAGGUACGGCCGCGACGGACGUAAACGUUAAAGGUAAGUUAGACGGUCGUUGAGACGNGCGACGGCGACGACGAGGGAGGAGG
rnacentral:rRNA from 1 species